GCUUAUGUAGCUUAUUAAUAAAGCAAAGCACUGAAAAUGCUUAGAUGGGUAAUCAUAUCCCAUAAGCA
rnacentral:tRNA from 1 species